rnacentral:lncRNA from 1 species
AUGAGCAGUCUUUAGCAUUAAUAAUUACAUUAUUUUUAGGAACUCUUAUCAAAUAUGGUCCUGGAUCUCUUAAUUUCCCAUAUGCAGUGAUUUUAGUUAAAAUUCCAAAGGAUUUCUUUUUCCUAUAAUAUCUCCAUUUCUGAGUAUCAUCAUACCAAAACAAUUAGUAUUCUCUUAUUCAAGGCUUUAGAUGUUCGAUUAUUCCCUACCCUUCCAUCCUCACACACACAAUAAUUGCCCAGAUAAAUAAUAAUAAACUGUGGUUUCCAAGUAUCUCACUGGGAUUUUUAUUCUUUAUACCUUGCAGGACUAGUCCAAGAUUUGAAUACCCUGAACUUAUUUGGCAAGAGCGAUGAGUACUCUUAAAAUUACUAUCUGGAAAUUAUAUUAUUUAGAAUCUGCCAAUUACCUAGAUCCCCC